UAAUCUCAAUUUGUAAAUGUGAGCGAUUUUUAACUAUUUGACGCACUCACUUUGCAAUUGGAGAUUGCU
rnacentral:pre_miRNA from 1 species